rnacentral:rRNA from 1 species
UGGGGAAUAUUGCACAAUGUAGGGAACUCUGAUGCAGCAACGCCGCGUGCGGGAUGACGGCCUUCGGGUUGUAAACCGCUUUCAGCCAUGACGAAGCUUUUGUGACGGUAGUGGUAGAAGAAGCACCGGCUAACUACGUGCCAGCAGCCGCGGUGAUACGUAGGGUGCGAGCGUUGUCCGGAAUUAUUGGGCGUAAAGAGCUUGUAGGCGGUUUGUCGCGUCGAUAGUGUAAACACGCAGCUUAACUGUGUGCCUGCUGUCGAUACGGGCUGACUAGAGGAGGGUAGGGGAGAAUGGAAUUCCCGGUGGAGCGGUGGAAUGCGAAGAUAUCGGAAGGAACAACAGUGGCGAAGGCGGUUCUCUGGACCUUUCCUGACGCUGAGAAGCGAAAGCGUGGGUAGCAAACAGG